UCUGGGGAGACAACAGAACGUUAAGAGCAGCCCUGAGGCGGACACGGGCUGAUCCCAACAGCAGUAAGAUCCUACAAUACAAGCCCUGCUUCAUUGGUCCUGGGGGUAGCAGCCUCCACUGCCUCCCGGAUGAUUUUAGCAGGCAAGCAGUGCUUGCGUAUGACAAGCAGUCGAGUUCAACGUGAGGCAAGACUAAAACUGAUGCACCCUGGGAACAAGCUAAAUUGUUCUCCGGGGCAGGCACACUGCAAUCUCAGGGAAGACAGCUUCGUGGAAGGGGAAGGCUAUCUGAGCUGUGUAAAGAGGGAAAGUCAAUUUCCCUCUCUGAUCCUUCCUCAUCUGUAACCCGGGGACCUUCAGAUCUAACUCUGGCUCCCACACUACCUGUUAGGUGCCCUGGAAGGCCACUGCAAAUUCGCAAAGAGUGCCUGGGGGAGGUUGUACAUUUUCAAAUGCAAUCCCAGGAUAUCCAUGAGACACCAGGUAAACUUGAAGCUUGAAGCACUUCAGGCUUCCAACAUCAGAUUACCACAUCUCUUGUGAUGACGUGACCACUUUGCAAAGCUGUUUUUCAAAGUACCCUGAUAAAAAGCAAACACCAAGGAACUUCAUGUGAAACAGAAACUAGGUUAGUGGUCUCCAAUCUGAUCCCAAGAUUUGAGAGGCGGUGCCGUGCCCCAUAGGUGCUACAUUGUUAAGGCAUAAAUACUUAUUAAAGUGUUUUGAUCUAUUUAAAAAGAGAGCCUUGGGUAUUAUUUCUUUUGGCCAGGGGCUCUGUGAAAAAUUUCCUGAGAUACUAACGUGCUGUGAACCAAGGCAGUUUCGGAACCUCUAACCUAACUCAGUAGGCUUCAAUGAAGACCGAAUAAGAUGAUGUCUGGGAGAGUACUUUGAAAAGUUGAAGGCAGAAGUUGGCAAACUUUCUGUAAAGGGCCAGGCAACUACUCACUUCUGCUGAUGUAGCACACAUUGAAGGCGUCAAAUGGAUGGGCAUGUUUUCUAAAAUAACUUAUUUACAAAAACACUUGGUGGACUGGAUUUGGCCACCUAGGCCAUAAUUUGCUAACUUCUGGUCUAAAGUGUGUCCUAGAGUGCAUGAAAGAAGCUGGAGAAAAAUCACCAUGGAGUUUAUCCUGGUUUUGCCUCUCAUGGAAAGAAGAGAGACAACUGAAGCCUCAAUCCAGGUAAAGAAGCAUUCUUGCAAGCCCAUCCAUGUAAAGUGUAUGAAAAGUGGGCCUUUUCCCUGAAAUUAUCCAGAUCCUGAUUUCAUUUACAUUUUGUUUUAUGAUUUUGGGGAAAUUCCAUCAGUAACCUAACAGGUUUAUUUCCUAUCUUUAGGAAAUAAAUAUACAGAUAGUAAAUUGUGCAGUUCGUAUCUGCAGAGCUUUCAUUCUUGGUCAUCUUUUUAUAACAUCUUAUCAAAGAUAACUGCAACAAACAGGUCUGGGGACAAGAACAGGGAAGCACAAGACCAGUUUCAUUGCAGCUAUAAAAAUAACCCUUUGUUUCCCAUUGUACUUUACAAGCAGGCGGCACUCUGCGUGUCCUGGAAAGGUUGGGUCUGCUGACCUUGGAGGGUUUUUUAUGAUCAGUAAGGAGCAGGGACAUAUGGCCCCAGGUGAAACCUUGGGUGAGUUGGGCCGUCCAUACAAGGCUCAUGAGACAAGUCAUCUCACUUGGGCCUUUCAGGGUCCGGUGAAAUGAGUAUAAUCCCCUCACUUUACAGACCAACAAACUGAGGUUCAAAGAGGCUAAUAAACUGGCCCAACGAUGUACAAUGAGUAAGUAAGUGGUUAUGUCACUUCACAUGUUUAGCCUUUCCCAGUCUCAUCUGUCAAAGGGUCUGUAAGAUUCUCUUCAAAACUCGCACAACCCCACCCCUCUGGGAAGGCACCAGAAAGCCUGAGCCAGCUCUCCUGGGAGGCUGCAGGGCAGUGAGUGUGCCUGCAUCCAGUGGCAGCAGUGCACACAGGGAGCGAGCAGCACCAGGCACUUCUCCCUCCAUGGCAGGGUCUACACGUCCCCCAGUGCACAUCUCAAGCUCAUACGAUACACUCUGCCAAGUCCAUUUUGAAUUCCAUGGCCUGAAUCAUUAACUUUCAAAGCCAAAGCAUUUAAAAGAUAAAAUUAUCCUCUUGGCACUCCUCAAACUGUGCUCUUGACCUCUUCUGUUAGGCUACAGUUUUGUUUCUGGCUGUGCAAAUGUCACAUAAUGCCACUGCACCCGGCAGUAUCUUCUUCAUAGCAACAGAUCAUAAUAAAAGUCCCUCGGAGGCUGUUUGUGUUUCACAUACACAUGGAAUGAAAGAAAAAUGCAGUGUGCUAUAUAAAGCGAGAGAAAUGCAUAAGCUUCAUCUUUCAUUUGCAGCCAAUUGGUUUUAAUAAGCUUUUAUGCUGAGAGGUGAAUAAUUAGCAUAUGUUCUUAAUUAAGAUUGUUCUAGAGCAGUAGAGUGCUCCAGGUCGUUAAAAAUGGUUUUGUGUCUCAAUGUCUUAAUUCUCUUAUCUUCUCAUCAGUCAAAAUACUUACAAGAAAUGAGAAUGUUUAGAUUUUUGUAUUUGCAUAAAUAAAUACUAGAAGGAAAAAUAAGGAAUUCAUUAAAACGGUUAUCAGUAUUGACGGUAGAUGCAGGGUAAAGGGGAAGGAAUGGGAGCAGGAUUUCCUUAUGUAUAAUUUUAAUUUUAUUUUGACUUUAGAAACAGGUAAAUGUAUUACCUGCUUCAAACUGAUGGAUGGACAGACAGAAAGAGCAGCAAACCAACAAGCCUCCAGCUCUCAGGCCUCUCACCUCUGGCCUUGCAUUUUCUUAAGUGUGGGUCAGCGUUAUAAGGAAAUCAGACAAAAAUACAGGAGAUGGAGUUUUGCUCUGUCACCCAGGCUGGAGGGCAAUGACACCACCAUAGCUCACUGGAGCCUGGAGCUCCUGGGCUCACAUGAUCCUCCCACCUCAGCCUCCCAGGUAGCUGGGACUACAGCCACACACCACUGUGGUGGGCUCACAGGUGGUGUCAGGACUGAAGUGAACUCACUGUAGGACGCCCAGCUGGUUUCCAAGAAUUGGUCGAUGUGGGAGAAACGCCCCGCUUUGGUGUCAGAAGUGUUGUGUAAGUAGAGAAAUGGUGAGUGAUUUUCUCAGGGGCCUUCAACAGGUCCUGAGGGUGCAGCCCUCAUGAAUGGGAUUAGAGUCCUUCAUAAAAAGAGGCUAAAGAGCUAAUUCACUCUCUUUUUGCCACGUGAGGCCACAGCGAGAAGAGGGCCAGCUGUAAACCAGGGAGUGGCCCCUCACCAGAGCCCUGCUGCCACCCUUAUCGAGGACGUGCAGCCUUGCAGAACUCUGAGAAAUAAAUGUCUGUUGCUUAGGCCCCCAGACUACAGCAAUUUGUUACGGUAGCCUCCAUUAAAAUAGGAACUUCUUCCUUGCAGGAUUUGUGCAAUGAUGAGCAAUUACACAGGCCAAGAUGUCUAGGAGAAAGGAGGGGGCAUUCUUUAGUGGGCAGCUCUAAUUAUUAAACCUUUGGUGUGGCUGUCCACUCAAGGGGCUGAACUCUAAGCGGAAAGCAUCAGGGUGCAGGGCGCUAAGCAUUCAGCUAGCCCUCACAGGCCCUCACGCCAGGAAGGAACUCACUGCCUUCCUACAAAGACCAAGAGGUACCUGGGAGGAGCUCUGCCAGAGCUGGAAGUUUGAGACCUAAAGUUAGCAUCAGGGCCCCUGAGAAAAGGAAGGAGACUGGAGCAAACCGUGACCCUUAUGAGCUGAAUUAUGCUUCCCCCUAGAAUUCAUAUGUUGAAGCCCCAACCCCUAGUACCCUAGAAUGUGACUGUACUUGGAGAUAGGGUCUUUAAGGAGGUAAUUAAGUACAAUUAGGUCAUCAGGGUAAGCCCUAAUCCAAUCUGACUGGUGUUCUUUUAAUGAAGAAGAGAAAAUUUGGACACACAGAGAGACACCAGGGAUGCAGGUGCACAGAGGAACUACCAGGGGAGGACAAAGCAUUGUGAAAGUGGUUGUCUGCAAGCCAGGGGGAGAGGUCUCAGGUUAAACCAUCCCUAAUGGCCCCUUGGUCUUGGACUUUCAGCAGUGCAACUGUGAGAAAAUAAAUUUCUGUUAGUUAUUUAAGCCCCUAAGUCCAUAGUAUUUUGUCACGGCAGCCUGAGCAGACCAACCACCUCUGGAGAGAUGGGGGUCAAAGGAUUGCCCAGACUGAAUUUCCAUCAACAGAGGGCAGCAAAGCUGAUGUCCCUGGGGCCAUCAACAUCCCAUCCUUCGAGAUGUGGGCUAUGCACCAACCAAGCCUUUCCCAGCGGGUCAUCAGUCCAGAGAGAGAAGGCCUGACAACUGCCCCCGGAAGGGAGGCUGCAAAUCUCUACUGAAAGCAGUGUGCUGGAAGGUAGAAAGAAUGGAGUCAGAAUCAGGUGGAAAGGUGGUUCUUCCCUGUCUGGAUGGUACCAAGAGAAAAAUGAUACCCACAAAGGCUUUUCAUACCAACAGUUUCUCUGGCCAAAAUACUGCACAUACAGGGAGUUCCACAAAGAAGGGCCUUUGCUGCUUGGUUCCUAAAGCCUGGGGGUAUCCAGGUAGGGCUCUCCCUCUAGCCCACCCCCAGGUAGACACAGCAUAGGUCCUCAAACAGCAGGGGCCAGCAGGUGUAAUGACAGUCUGUAUACCUCCUUCCAACCUUCCCUGCCCAGUGGGAGUGGAGACUUGUUUUUGUUGUCCCUCCCUGGGUAGAGGAUCAUGCCUUAUACCUGUGCAAAAUAUAUUUUUCUCAUUCAUAUUUCCCUAGAAACUUUUAUACAGAGACAUUGAGUUAUCUCAGGACACAGUAACUGUGUGCUUCUCCCAUUUUAACAAAGGCUUUGUGGGAAAACAACAUCUUAAGCUAAAAUGAUGCAUCUCUAACGAUGAAAUAUCUGGCUUCAAAGCAAGCAUGAGGAGGAGAAUUAUGAGGGGAAGGGGGGCAUUUCUGUGAGAUAAAAGUCAAACCUCAAAGCUGAAUAUCCCCUUCCCCUUACUUGGGCCCGGGUGACUCUGAAUAGUUACAGCAAAUCAUCACCUUCCAGAGAAAAUGGGGGCAGUGCAGCCCUAUUUCUUCUAGUUUCAUCUGCUGGGAAAUCCUGGGCACACUCUAACCCUAACCCCAUAUCUCUAAGAGAGGAGCCCAACUCUUGCCUUACCUAUCAAUGGUACCGAAUCGGAUGUUGCGGGCAUGAUCUCAGCCACGAGCAGCAUGAAGACGGUAAGAGAGAGUAAGACUGUUAUCCCUAAAACAUAAACACACAGCGGUUCCUCAGACAAAAACAGACAAGAAGGCCUCAAUUCUGUCUAACGAGGGCUCCUAACCUGACACUCAAAAGAAAGGGAGGCGCUGGGGGGAAUGUCGUGGAAUGCACGUUUUCCCUAUGUAUGGGCGUGUGCAUUUUCCAGGGGACAUUCCAUGCCACUUACCAGAGUCCCAAAGGAGUCUCUUAUGGAGACAAGUUUAGGACCCAGAAUUUUAAAAGCAUCAACACAAACUGAAAAAUUUAACUUGGCACAAUUAUCUCUCAUAUUCUCUGUAAAAUAUUAUUGAGAAGUAGUUUCACGUAGCAGGAAAAAGAAAAUAUGCAGUCAGGAGACCUGAUUUCAGGUCUUACGUUUGCUACUCAGCUAGCUAUGUGACCUUAGAUACAACAUUCAACCUUUCUGAACCUCAUACUCAGAAGAUAUGGGUUUGGGAAUGAUUUCUACCAUAUGCUACAUCUGAUGUUUAGCAACUCUUUAAGACAUUGGGAAACUCAUUCCACCAUUCAAAAUCUUGGUUUCCUUAGCUUCGUAUGGGAGUGAUCGUAAGAAUUACACUGGGUACUGUAACAUACAAAUGCAAGCUGAUACUAAGCUAAAUUGUUCCCUCGAUGACCAGUCGCCAUUGAGGAACAGGUGGGGUGGCAGGAGGGAAGAAAGCACAGGCCUCUCAAGGCAGAAUGGAGCUGGCCCCCUCCCUGUGCAUCCCCCAUCCUCUGAGGGUCCUCCAGUAUUCUCAGGAUUACACAGCCGUCCAGCACGGAGCCCGAAUCAGGGACCUCUGGUGUCCUGGAGCCACCGUGGGCUCGGAGGUCCAUGGGAUGAGCCAGGGAAUCCCCAGGAACCCUGAUGGAGUCCUGCGCUGUCUGCUGUGAGCCCUCCAGAGCUGAUCUCAGCAGAAGGUCUCCAGUCUCAGACUCCCGCCAGACACUGGGGCGCUUACCCAGGGAAAUCUUCUCCCCGGAAUCUGCAGGAAGCAGGAACACCAGCAGGGCGAGGGCGGAGAUGAGCACACAGGGGAUCAGCAGGUUGAGGCCAUAGUAGAGUGUCCUGCGGCGCAUGGUCACUGUGAAGGUGACAUCGGGGUAGGGCUCUUUGCAGCACUCAUAGAACCUUUCACUCCUCUUGCCGGGGAUUCCUCCAUAGGGAGGAGGAGAGAAGGAGCCAUUGUUAGAAUACAAUAAAUUACCCUGUUUAUUUCAAUGUGUAUACCACACACAAGCACAGUCCUAAAGUUUGCAAAGUGCUAAAAAAAAAAAAGGGGGGGGUUGUAAUUAGCUUGAAUAAAACCUUGUUGAUUUACUAUAGAGUUAAGAGUAUUUUAGUGAUAGUUGGCCAAAUUGGUACAUAUUCUUUUGGUGGAUUGGAAACACAUGAUUAUAAUAAUUAUAAAUAAUACAUUACCAAUUUUACACUGUUAUAAAUGUAAUCACUGUUUUCCUAUUUUAAAAUAAUCAAAUAUAGGUUCCCAUCAACUGAAAUUUGCUGUUCAACUUGCUUUUAGAAAUGGAGUGGAUCUGCAUAACGUAGAGAGAUCUAUCCUCACACUGGUUUGUUUAAAUGCAUCCUCACUGCAGUUGCCAGUUCCUCUUGGAAAGCAUGGCAUAUCCUAACUGUUUUCUGUUUCUCCUCCUGUAGCUCUCAGUAAAUUAUGGAGACUACUGCAAAAUUCAAUAAAUGCUCGCACCAGAAAGGACAGUGGAAAAUCCCAAACUUUUAAAGCUUGCCCAGGAAUAGGAAAGCUUUCUUCCAGGCGAUCCAAGGACCAGCCUCCGUAAGACCAGGACCCAAACUUCAGUUUGCAGUGCUGCACAUCAAAGGGAAACCAGCGUACAUCGAUGUAGCAGGAACUCUUGAAUAUGCCUGUGUGGGUGAUGGAAACAGAAGACUGAAACGGAAGCUGACUGAGAUGUGCUGAAAAUACACAGCAGUUCCUUCAGCCGGUUCCGCCCUCCGCACUGCAGCUAACACAGUCCAGAGCAAAUGGAAUCUGUCUUUUUAUUUAUUCGCAAAAUCUGUAAAACAGAAUCUCAGCUAAGCUUCACUGUCUUUUAAAAUCCAAACGUAACACUGACAUGCUCUCUCAAAGACUGUUUUGUGGGCUUUUUGUGCAAAAAGUUAGCUCUAUAAUCUGCAUUUACCAUGAGCAUCUUCAGACUCUAAAUAAUAAAAGUAAAGAAUGCAAAAUAUCUCAGAGAAGUUGAUAACCCUGAUGAUGAAGUUAGAAAUAGAAUCUAAAAGGUGUGUGUGUGUGUGUGUGUGUGUGUCUGUUUGGUGCGGGGUGAGGUAGGCAUUUUCUUUAGGUUAAAAAUGGGAAGAACACAUGAUUAUCGAGAAAUACAAUCUAGAAUUCUGGUUAAAGCUAGAAUUUUAACUAAUUUAAAUUCUAGAUGAAGAACAGAACAAGCUGGGCACAGUGUCUCAUGCCCGUAAUCCCAGUGACUCUAAGACAUUGACGUGGGAGGGUCACUUGAGACUAGGAGUUUGAGACCGGACUGGGCAACAUAGUGAGACAUCUCUAAUAAAAAAAAUUAGCUGGGUGAGGUGAUGCAUGCCUGUAGUCCCAGCUACUCAGAAGGCUAAGGCAGGAGCAUUGCUUGAGCCCAGGAGUUUGAGGCUAAAGUGAAGUGAGCUAUGAUCGAGCCCCUGCACUCCAGCCUGGGGAACACACCUAGAAUCUGUCUGUAAGAAAAAAAGUUAAAACAAACAAACAAACAAACAAACAAACAAAAACAAGAACAGAUAGAUAGGUUUAAGCUGAAGAGAUGGUGCUUGAAGGAAGAGUUUCCGCUGAAAAGAGCUAUUCCAGGCUAGGACAGGUUGGAAGUGGAUUUCCCAGAGGGCCAAGGGGAGGAAACCAGAUAGAGGCCACUCCAGUUAUUUACACUCAUGUGCUCUUCCCUGCCCAGAGGAAGGCUGCAUGGCACAAGAAGACAGGCACAGACUCGGUGUCCAGGUGUUCCUGGGGCAGGGCUGGCACUCUGCAAACUUCUGUUACUGAGUUACAGAAAGAGUGCACGCAGGAAGGGCCUCCACAGCCUUGCACACAAGGACCCCACCCCACAACCGAGUUGGGAAAAGAUACACAUUUUGUCCCCUGAAGUUCCUUUAAGUAUGCUUUGCGUCCUUACAUGAAAUGUUUAUAGGAAUCUGGAAUCAUCACAGACAAUCCCCCUCCAUUAAUAGUUGGAUCCCCCCAAAACCCACCUUGUCUGCCAGUUAGUUGGAAAGCUUUGUAACUUCAUGAGCCCAUUUCUACGAAAUAAUGGCCCGAGACAGACAGAGAAUUUCUAGAGACAGAAAGCAGAUCAGUGGUUGCUGGGAGUAGGAAUGGGAAUUAACUGCAAACAAGCAAAAGGGAUCUUUGUGGGGUGAUGGGAAUGUUCUAAAACUAGACUGUGGUAAUGGUUGCAUAAGUCUGUAAAUAUACUAAAAGUUGUUGAAUCAUGUACUUAAAAUGCAUGAUAUGUAAAUUCUCUCUCAAUAAAGCUGUUAAAAAAUAAA